AUGGAGGCAACGGUGCUGAGCGUGGGCAAGUCCGUGCUGAGCGGAGCGCUUAGCUACGCCAAAUCUGCCUUGGCGGAGGAGGUGGCCCUGCAGCUGGGAGUACGGCGUGAUCAGGCCUUCAUCACGGGUGAGCUCGAGAUGAUGCAGGGCUUCCUGAUGUGUGCACACGAGGAGGGGCGAGAAGGCAGCAGCAUGGUGGUCAAGAUCUGGGUGAAGCAAGUCCGCGACGUGGCAUACGACGUCGAGGACUGCCUCCUGGACUUCGCCGUCAGGUUAGAUCAUCAGCAGUCGUGGUGGUGUAUCCCCCAAAGGCUGCUUGACCGGCGUUUUGUGGCCAAGGAAAUGAAGGAGCUCAGAACCAAGGUGGAGGACAUCGGCCAGAGGAACGUGCGCUACCGCCUCAUCAAGGAAUCAUCUGGGCAGCCAUCGUCUGCCACUGCCACCAUCAGCAGUGAGGUGAUACUUCACGUCGCUGAAGCCACAACACGUGCUGCGCUUCACCGGGAAAAGGAAAAGGCGGAUCUUGCCGAGCUGAUCACCAGAGAUGGCCAUGGGUCGGUGAUCGCGGUGUGGGGAGCAAGCAGCGAUGUUGGGGUCACAUCUAUCAUCAGAGCUGCCUAUGAUAAGCCAGAAGUAAAAGGUAAGUUUCAGUGCCGAGCCUGGGUAAGGCUGAUGCAUCCCUUCAACCCAAAUGACCUCUUUGUCAGCAUGGUGAGGCAGUUUUACCAAGAUUCAUGUGAUGAAUCUGGUAAAGCAAUUACGCAAGGAGGAGGAACAGCCACUGGACUGACAGUUCUGAAGAAGAUGUCGGCACUAGAUCAUAGUUUGGUCGAUGAGUUUAAUCGGUAUGUGACGGAGAAGAGGUACUUGGUUGUUAUUGCUGAUGUGCAUACCAUAGAAGAGUGGGACUGGAUCAAAACAUACUUCCCAAGCAUGAACGGGAGCCAGAUCAUUGUGUCCACGCAGCAAUUUGAAGUUGCAAGAUUGUGCACUGAGCAGCCGUACACGGUAGCGGAGAUUGAACCAAAAUGGUCAUUCGACAAGGACUUGUAUGUCUUCUACCACAAGCACAAGGUGGAGGCUCAAAUCAAAGGAGGUCACAAGGCCGAGUCCAGCUCAAAUGGUGAGAUCACAAGUGCUGAAGAAGCUCCUCGUGAGGAACAGCAGCACGCAGAUCAGAAGCUCACUAGUGCCAGUGCAGUGGCAGCCGCUUUGGAGGAAGAUCGGCUUAUCAACCGGGUGGCAGCAAAAGCUACAGUUAUUGAGUUACUCAGUCAACCUGGCGAGGUGAUCACCAUUUGGGGAAUGGGAGGUCUUGGGAAGACUACUCUUGUAACAAGUCUCUACCAACAAGAACUCAGUGAAAGAUUUCAGAGGCGCGCUUGGUUCACAGUGCCGCAUUCUCUGAACCAUCUAAGCCAUCAAGAAUUUCAUGAGGACUUGCAACGGCAAUUGAAAGUGGAUUAUCAUGGAGACAAAGAAAAGCCUGAAGGACAGCAAAAUGACAAUGGAGAGGAGACUCAAACAACGGAAAACAAAAAAACUGUUGAAACUUUGGCAGAGAUUUUAUCGAACAAGAAAUGCCUCAUUGUUUUUGACGAUCUAUCAUCCAUCGAAGACUGGCAAUGGAUAAAGCAGCUGUUGCCAUCAAGAGAAAAUACUGCCAACAAGAUCAUUGUCACCACUCGGAAACUGAAUGUUGCCGAGUCAUGUUCGCAGAUAGAAAGCCAGAUAUACAAUCUCGAGCUUCUUAGUGAUGAGGAUGCUCUCCGCCUAUUUGAAAAAAAGCAAAGAGGGAAGUUGGUGCUCUAG
rnacentral:rRNA from 1 species